AGGUUGCUCAUGAACUCAGAGAAAGACUCAUUUUCGUAUUCCAGAAGUACCAAAAAGUUCUCUAUAAUUAGGAAGCUAAAGUUACAGCAGCUUUUAAGUCCCAAAUCGAGAAGCUAUAGAAAGAGAGAGAUGAGUUUCAGAAGAUUGUCAUUGGGAAUCAGGUUGGACGUUUGGGUUUAAUGUAGACUUGUGUUGUUGUGCUACUAUUUGAAACUGGACUAAUGCUGACAAGUAUUAGUGAUAUGUUGAUGCUGUUCAAAGCAAGUUAAGACUCAACAGAUGCAUGAUUUUAAGAAAAAAGAAAAGCAUUGACCAAAAAAAGAAAAAGAAAAGGAGUAUAUAAAGCUGCAGUGACAACCCAUCACAUCUAAUAGCAAAUGAAGAACUCACUAUCACAGAAGAGGCCUCAACAACAUAUGAACCAACAGAUGACAUAUCUGAAGAACUCAUGUAGAAUGAUUCGUUCAAACUCAAAAUGUAGAAUAUUUUGUAGAAAAAUAUUGAGAGUCCCAAUGCUGGUAUUGAGA